GUUCAGCACUAAGUCACUUUGUCUUUAUGGCAAAUGUGAGAUGCAGUGUAUGGAAUGUCAAAUUUCUAGUAUGAGAAAUUAACGAUUUAAGUCCUUCUUAAAUGAGGCCAUUUACCCACAGAGGGUGCCAGGCCCGUAUAACGUUAAUGAUUACUAGAUGGCAUUUCCAAAGAGUCGUGUUGCUUGAUAGUGCAGCACUAAGUGGGUGGUAAACUCCAUCUAAAACUAAAUAUAACCAUGAGACCGAUAGUAAACAAGUACCGUGAGGGAAAGUUGAAAAGAACUCUGAAUAGAGAGUUAAAUAGUACGUGAAACUGCUUAGAGGUUAAGCCCGAUGAACCUGAAUAUCCAUUAUAGAAAAUUCAUCAUUAUGAUUUUAAUAUUAAUAAUAUUAUAAUAAUGGUGUGCAUUUUUUCUAUAAAGGACAUUGUAAUCUAUUAACAUAUCAUAUUUAUCAUAAGAUCAAUGAUGCGUAAGUUUAUUCAAAUUAUUUUGCUUGCAAUUUAACAUAGAAUAAAUGCUCUUGAUUUGAUAAAGUGUUGAUAGAUUUAUUGUAUAUAGUGCUUAAAUAUUUAUAUUUUAUAAUAGCAUAUUAAUCAUUGAUUUUUAUGUUUAUUAUAUGCACUUAUAUGAUUAACAAUGCGAAAGAUUCAGGAUACCUUCGGGACCCGUCUUGAAACACGGACCAAGGAGUCUAACAUAUUUGCAAGUUAUUGGGUAUCAAAACCUAAUAGCGAAAUUAACAUAACUUAUAAUGGGAUUAGUUUUUAGAUUAUUUAUAGUCUAUUAAUUCAAUCCCGGGGCGUUCUAUAUAGUUAUGUAUAAUGGUAUUUAUACUAUUUAUACCUCUAACUAGAGCGUACCUUGAGCAUAUAUGCUGUGACCCGAAAGAUGGUGAACUAUACUUGAUCAGGUUGAAGUCAGGGGAAACCCUGAUGGAAGACC
rnacentral:rRNA from 1 species